rnacentral:lncRNA from 1 species
ACGACUCGGGCGUGCCGACGGAACUAAUAGUUCCUGGAAGCGGGCUGGACAGUGCAUCCAAUCUACAACAGAAAUUAGAGCAUUGUGGUUGCAAAUUGUGAUCCAUUGUGGCCUCAUCGAUUUCAAACUUUCUUUUGACCGGCCCCAAGCAACUUGGCCUGAUCGCGAUAGGACUCAAGCUGCGCCUGUGGUUAUUAGAUGAAACAUUAGACAAAAUAAUAAAAACAAUAAUGACUCGGAGACAAGUUAUUCUUCCAAAUAUGCAUGCUGGGAGAAUAACAUUGUCUUUGAUUAAAUCCAGACCUCGUGGGCGAAAGUG